rnacentral:rRNA from 1 species
GGAUCAAUAUGCUGGUCGUGUCUUUGGUACGUACUGGUAUUAUUGGUUUCUCCUUUCUGAUGAAUCACGAUGUCAUUAAUUUGGUGUCAUGGGGAAUCAGGACUGUUACUUUGAAAAAAUUAGAGUGUUUAAAGCAGGCUUACGCUUGAAUACAUUAGCAUGGAAUAAUGAAAUAGGACGUUUAAUUCUAUUUUGUUGGUUUCUAGGAUUGACGUAAUGAUUAAUAGGGAUAGUUGGG